UGAUAGUAUCAGAAGAGGAAGGGACGGCUAACUCUGUGCCAGCAGCCGCGGUAAUACAGAGGUCCCAAGCGUUGUUCGGAUUCAUUGGGCGUAAAGGGUGUGUAGGUGGCGCCGUAAGUCGGGUGUGAAAUCUCGGGGCUUAACUCCGAAACUGCAUUCGAUACUGCGGUGCUUGAGGACUGGAGAGGAGACUGGAAUUCAUGGUGUAGCAGUGAAAUGCGUAGAGAUCAUGAGGAAGACCAGUGGCGAAGGCGGGUCUCUGGACAGUUCCUGACACUGAGACACGAAGGCCAGGGGAGCAAACGGGAUUAGAUACCCCGGUAGUCCUGGCAGUAAACGGUGCACGUUUGGUGUGGGAGGAUUCGACCCCUUCUGCGCCGGAGCUAACGCGUUAAACGUGCCGCCUGGGGAGUACGGUCGCAAGAUUAAAACUCAAAGAAAUUGACGGGGGCCCGCACAAGCGGUGGAGUAUGUGGCUUAAUUCGAUGCAACGCGAAGAACCUCACCUAGCCUUGACAUGCAUCUCUA
rnacentral:rRNA from 1 species